rnacentral:rRNA from 1 species
AACGAACGCUGGCGGCAGGCCUAACACAUGCAAGUCGAGCGAGACCUUCGGGUCUAGCGGCGGACGGGUUAGUAACGCGUGGGAACGUGCCCUUCUCUGCGGAAUAGCCAUUGGAAACGAUGAGUAAUACCGCAUACGCCCUUAGGGGGAAAGAUUUAUCGGAGAAGGAUCGGCCCGCGUUAGAUUAGGUAGUUGGUGGGGUAAUGGCCCACCAAGCCGACGAUCUAUAGCUGGUUUGAGAGGAUGAUCAGCCACACUGGGACUGAGACACGGCCCAGACUCCUACGGGAGGCAGCAGUGAGGAAUCUUGGACAAUGGGGCAACCCUGAUCCAGCCAUGCCGCGUGAGCGAUGAAGGCCUUAGGGUCGUAAAGCUCUUUCGCCAGGGAUGAUAAUGACAGUACCUGGUAAAG